rnacentral:rRNA from 1 species
GCGCAGCAGUCGAGAAUUUUUCACAAUGGGGGAAACCCUGAUGGAGCGACGCCGCGUGGAGGAUGAAGGUAUUCGUAUCGUAAACUCCUGUCAAACGGGAACAAGAAAGUGAUAGUACCGUUAGAGGAAGAGACGGCUAACUCUGUGCCAGCAGCCGCGGUAAUACAGAGGUCUCAAGCGUUGUUCGGAUUCAUUGGGCGUAAAGGGUGCGCAGGCUGUGGGGUAAGUCGGAUGUGAAAUUUAGGGGCUCAACCCCUAAACUGCAUUCGAUACUGCUCCGCUAGAGGACUGUAGAGGAGAUUGGAAUUCACGGUGUAGCAGUGAAAUGCGUAGAUAUCGUGAGGAAGACCAGUGGCGAAGGCGAAUCUCUGGGCAGUUCCUGACGCUCAUGCACGAAGGCCAGGGGAGCAAACGGGAUUAGAUACCCCCGUAGU